ensembl:lncRNA
GGAGGGCUUGGAACCCAGUGGGUAUCAAUAUUCAGCUGUAAUAAUUAUAAGUACAUGACCCAACCUCAUGGGAAGGAGUUCCUUGUGCCUCCACAUCAAUGCAGGUAUCAUGGGCAAGAACAUGGCUCUGAUUGAUUGAUUGAUUGAUUGAUUGAUUGAUUAUCAUUUUAGGGCCACACCUGUGGCAUAUGGAGGUUCCCAGGCUAGGGGUCCAAUCGGAGCUGUAGCCGCCAGCCUACGCCACAGCCACAGCAAUGCCAGAUCCGAGCCAUGUCUGCAACCUACACCCAGCUCACAGCAAGCAAUGCCAGAUCCUUAAUCCCCUGAGCGAGUCCAGGGAUUGAACCCUUGUUCUCAUGGAUUCUAGUUGGGUUCCUUACCACUAAGCCACGAUGGGAACCCCAAGAACACAGAUUUUAGAAUCAGGCAAAACCUGGAUUUGCAUCACUGCUCUGCUAAUGUGCAAGCUGGGUGUGCUUGAGCAAGCUAUUUAGUGCAUUAGAGCUUCAAUUUCAUUCUUUCUAAAAUGGGGAAGGCAGUGCCCACCUUGUAGGGUUCUUUAGUUCAGGGUUAUAGUCACCAUUCAGUCAAUGUUGCCAUCUAGAAGUGGUAAUAGUAUGGUAAUGAUAAUAAUAACAAUCCUUAAUUAAAUUAAAAUUAAUCUGAACUCACGGAUAUUUCCGGGAUGAGAAAGAGACUUACUAUUACUCUUUGCAAGUGAUCUACAGUGUGGAAGAGAAGGUCAGGAAGAAGGAUUCUGACAGAAUGACCGGGUCUGAAGAUUACCAUGGUGAGAAAGACUUCCAGCCUUCUGGUAUCUUUUUUACUUCCAAAGAACCUUUUAAGCUUUUCCUAGUUAGGUCUCAGCCUACCUGCAAGGAAUAUGCGAUAAACCGAGUCAUGGAAUGGCACUGAAUCCAUCUAGUAUUCCAUCUACAAAAUCGCUGGCACCCUCUGCGGUAUAGUCCGUGACAUGAGAAAUUGACACUUCAGAGGUCCUAUCUUCCCUGGAUGAAGGAACUGGUGUCGAGCACUCACUGUUUAGGAGAAAAGAAAUUUCAUGCAGUGAAGUAGACAGCAAGGAAGUGAAGGGAACAGAGGACAAUUCCUCCCUUACACACCAAGUUGACUGAAUAGUCAGUGGCCUUAAGAAAUGGAAUGAACCUUUAAAUUCUUUUUUUUUUUUUUAGGGCUGCACCCACGGCAUAUGGAAGUUCCCAGGCUAGGGGUCAAAUCGGAGCUACAGCUGCCGGCCUACACCAUAGCCACAGCAACUCGAGAUCCUUAACCCACUAAGUGAGGCCCAGGCUCAAACCCAUGUCCUCAUGGAUACUAGUUGGGUUCGUUAACUGCUGAGCCACAACAGGAACCCCCGAACCUUUAAAUUCUUACAUCUACACUUUAAUGACAGAAAAAUAUUUGAAGCAUGUCACCAUAACGACUUGGGGGCAGUAAGAAUUGGGGGAUCAGAAAGGGAAGGUGAUUUUUACUUUUAAUUUUAUAUACUUUCACUUGUUUAAAUGUUUUUACAAAGAUUCUGUAUUCCUUUGGUUAUCUUAAAAACUAUAAGCUAGCUUAGCUUUCAUUAUUAAAGCAUGAUAAUAGUUCCAGGGUCAAAUAUGUCUCUUUCUCCCUAUAGAAUUCCAUUAGAAGAUUUACCAGCCUGGAAUGGAAUCUCUCUCAGGGCCCCAUACAAUCAUUAUACUUUGAGGGUUUUUUUUUUUUUUCUGUCUUUUUGUCUUUUCUAGGGCUGUACCUGUGGCACAUAGAGGUUCCCAGGCUAGGGGUCCAACUGGAGCUGUAGCUGCUGGCCUAUGCCAGGGACACAGCAAGGUGGGAUCCAAGCAGCAUCUGCGACCUACACCACAGCUCACGGCAAUGCCAGGUCCUUAACCCACUGAGCCAGGCCAGGAUCAAACCCACAACCUCAUGGUUCCUAGUCGGAUUUGUUAACCACUGAGCCACGACGCGAACUCUGAGAAUGUUUUCUAUUUUUAUUUUAUUUUUAAUUUAUCUUGUUUUUGGUCAUACCCUCGGCAUGCAAAAGUUUACGGGCCAGGGAUUGAACCUGCACCACAGCAGUGACAAUACCGGAUCCUUAAUCCGUUAGACCCCAGGAAUCCCACAAGGAAUGUUUUUUAAAUGGCAAAAUAAUUAUAACAAGUACCAAGGCAAAAAGAGAUGACCUGGUGUGUUCUCUCUGCUGACUUUGGAAGUAUUUGUGAGCACUGUAAACCCUAAUUUUGAACACUGUAGGCUUUGCAAAUCAGCAUGACCCCAGAGUUGAAGAAUAAGCCAGAGUCCAAAAAUUAAAACUAUACAAGUGGAGACUCUCACUUCCUACUGUGGUGGCCUAAGGGGGACAGACAAGAUAGGCGUUUCUGCACGAAACAACUAUGAACUUGGACAAAAUAUACAAAACAAUGCUUUUCAAGACAUUGGAGACCACACAACAAAAGACAGUGACAGCCCCCCCCAAGACUGGAAAUAAAUGAAAUGACCCCUAUGGUCGUCCCAGCUUAUUACCUUGAGGUUAUUUCCAGGAGAUGACAGAGGGAAGGAGAACCAAGCAGAGCCCAGAGGAUUCUGUGAGUUUAUGAGAUAAAGAGAAGAGGAAGCUAGAAUUUGGAUGGCAAAAUAGCAGAGGGGGAGAGCUGCACACGAGAGACUCCCAAAAAUCUGAAACAUGUGUCUAUGAGAAUUCAGCAGAAUACUCAGGUUGAGGAAAGAACCACUGAAACAACUGAAAGGAACAGUGCCCAUUACAAUCAUCCAGACUGGAAAAUCUCAGGUUCAAGGGUACUGGAUAGAGCACUAAGAAUAGUCUUGACUAAGUAGUGAAGAAUAACGAGCCCCAGGCAAAAUGCUUCUCUGAUCAGCCUAAAAGAGAUUUCAAAGGAAGACCUGCAAGGAUCAAAUUGUGUCCAAGUGACUUAACCCCAUUCCAGAAUAAAGCUCAAAAAUAUUUAUAGAAAUAUAAAAAUAUUUAGCAACCAAGAAAGUUAAAGUUCAUAACAUCUAGCAUCCAACCAAAAAAGCUAUUUACUUAUCUCACUUUUUUUUUUUUUUUUGGCCACGCCUAUGGCAUUUGGAAGUUCCUGGGCCAAGGACUGAACCUGUGCCACAGCAGGGACCUGAGCCAUAGUAGUGACAACAUUGGGUGCUUAACCCAAUGAGCCACAAAAGAACUCCUGGAGUGGCUAUAUAUAUAUUUUUUUGUUUGUUUGUUUGUUUGUUUUUCUAUUUCUUGGGCUGCUCCCGUGGCAUAUGGAGGUUCCCAAGCUAGGGGUCCAAUCGGAGCUGCAGCCACCGGCCUACACCAGAGCCACAGCAAUGCAGGAUCGAAGCCUUGUCUGCAACCUACACCAGAGCUCGCGGAGACGCCGGAUCAUUAACCCACUGAGCAAGGGCAGGGACUGAACCCGCAACCUCAUGGUUCCUAGUCGGAUUCGUUAACCACUGUGUGGAGUGGCUAUAUUAAUAGCAAUGUACAUUUCAGAUCAAAGGCUAAUACCAGGGACAAUAAAGCUCAUUUCAUAAUGAAAUCAUGCUCAAUUCAUUAAAAGGACAUUAUAAUCCUAAAAAUGUAUGCAUCUAAUAACAGAGCUUAAAACAUGAAGCAAAACCUGAUAGAACUAAAAGGAGAAAUAGUCAAAUCCACAAUUAUAGUUAGAGAUUUUGAUACUCUUGCUCAAUAACUGAUAGAACAAGCACAUAGAAAGUCAUUACGGAUACAGAAGACUUAAAUAACACCAUCAGCUAAUCUGAUUUAAUAGAAAUUUAAAGGAUACUGACAGCAGUGGAAUACACUUUCAAGAGCGCAUAGAAUAUUUACCAAGAUAAAUCAUAUUCUUGGCCAUGAACCAGACCUUAAUAAAUUUAAAAUAAUUCAAGUUAUAUAUAAUGCAUGUUCUCUGACAGCAAUGAGAUUAAAUUAGAAAUCAAUAACAGAAAGAUAUUCAAAUAUUUGGAAACAAAAUGAUAUACUCCUAAACAACUAAUGAGUUAAAGAAUAAAUCAGCUGAGAAAUUAUAAAGCAUUUGAACUAAAUUAAAAAAUAAAAAUACAACAAACCACAAUUUGUAGGGUGCUGGUAAAGCAGGACUUAGAGAGAAAUUUAUAACUCCAAAUGCCCCAAAAGAAAUGUCUCAAGUCAAUGACACCAGUUUUGACCUAAAGAAACUAAAAAUAUAAAAAAAGUAAAGGAAACUUAAAGUGGAAGAAAAAAAUAAUGACAAUCAGUGCCUAAACAAAUAAAAUAGAAAAUAGAGAAAAUAAAAUCAGUGAAACCAAGAGAUUUCUUUGUUCCUUGAGAAAAUAAAAAUAAUAAUAAACCUCUAGUCAAAUUCAUCAGGAAAAAAGAGAAACGACACAAAUUAUCAAUAUUAGGAAUGAGAGUAAUAGAGGAAUGAGAGUCAGCACAGAUUCUGCAGAUACUGAAAGGAUAAUAAAGGAGUUCCCACUGUGGUGCGGUGGGUUAAAAAUCCAAAGCAGCAGCUCAGGUCACUGCAGAGGUGUGGGCUCAAUCCCUGGCUGGUUACAGUGGGCUAAAGGGUCUGGAACUGCCACAGCUGCAUUGUAGUUUGCAGCUGUGGCUCGGAUUCAAUCCCUGGCCCAGGAACUUCCACAUGCUGUGGGUGCGGCCUUAAAAAAAAAAGAGAGAUGAUUAAAAAAUACCUUGGGGGAGUCCCUGCUGUGGUGCAGCUGAAACGAAUCCUACUAGUAUCCAUGAUAAUGUGGGUUUGAUCCCUGGCCUCACUCAGUGGGUUAAGGAUCUGGCGUUGCCAUGAGCUGUCGUAUAGGUCACAGAUGCAGCUUGGAUCUGGCAUUGUGUGGCUGUGGCAUAGGCUGGCAGCUGUAGCUCCGAUUUGACCUCUAUCCUGGGAACUUCCAUAUGUUGCACAAUUGUCCCUAAAAAGCAAAAAAAAAAAAAAAAAAAAAAAA